GACGUAGGGUGCGAGCGUUGUCCGGAGUUACUGGGCGUAAAGGGCGCGUAGGCGGAUGGCACAGUCAGAUGUGAAAUUCCCGGGCUUAACCUGGGGGCUGCAUUUGAUACGUGUGAUCUAGAGUGAGGAAGAGGGUCGUGGAAUUCCCAGUGUAGAGGUGAAAUUCGUAGAUAUUCGCAAGAACACCAGUGGCGAAGGCGGCUCACUGGCCCGAUACUGACGCUGAGGCACGAAAGCGUGGGGAGCAAACAGG
rnacentral:rRNA from 1 species